rnacentral:rRNA from 1 species
ACGAGAGGACAAGAGAAGCUUGCUUCUUUUGAAAUCGAGUGGCAAACGGGUGAGUAACACGUAAACAACCUGCCUUCAGGAUGGGGACAACAGACGGAAACGACUGCUAAUACCGAAUACGCUUGGGAGACCGCAUGAUCUUCCAAGGAAAGGGUGGCCUCUACCUGUAAGCUAUCGCCUGAAGAGGGGUUUGCGUCUGAUUAGGCAGUUGGUGAGGUAACGGCCCACCAAACCUACGAUCAGUAGCCGGUCUGAGAGGAUGAACGGCCACACUGGAACUGAGACACGGUCCAGACUCCUACGGGAGGCAGCAGUGGGGAAUCUUCCGCAAUGGGCGAAAGCCUGACGGAGCAACGCCGCGUGAGUGAUGACGGCCUUCGGGUUGUAAAGCUCUGUGAUCGGGGACGAACGGUCCGUAAGCUAAUACCUUAUGGAAGUGACGGUACCCGAAUAGCAAGCCACGGCUAACUACGUGCCAGCAGCCGCGGUAAUACGUAGGUGGCAAGCGUUGUCCGGAAUUAUUGGGCGUAAAGCGCGCGCAGGCGGCUUUCUAAGUCCAUCUUAAAAGUGCGGGGCUUAACCCCGUGAUGGGAUGGAAACUGGAAAGCUGGAGUAUCGGAGAGGAAAGUGGAAUUCCUAGUGUAGCGGUGAAAUGCGUAGAGAUUAGGAAGAACACCGGUGGCGAAGGCGACUUU